UUCAGAGCACUGGGCAGAAAUCACAUCGCGUCAACACCCGCCGCGGGCCUUCGUGAUGCUUUGUUUUAAUUAAACAGUCGGAUUCCCCUGGUCCGCACCAGUUCUAAGUCACCUGCUAGGCGCCGGCCGAGGCGGGACAAGGCAUUAGGCUAUUUUUUUAAAAAAAUUGUUUGGGGGGGUGACUAGUUUAUUUUGUAUUAUGCUGUGUUUUGUAGCACUAGUUUUUAAUCCUGCUCUCUUCUAUCUGUUUGGAUGGAGGCUGUUUGUUUGACAAUGCUGUAAGCAUACAGCCCUCUGAUCACAAGCCGUGGUGAUGGAGCCUGGAGGUAUUCCUUUCUUAUUAUUCCUAAAGGCAACAGUUCUUUUAUGAUCACUCCAUGGCAGUCUUACUGAAGUUACAUGUAACUUGAAGUUUCUGUUGCACAGUGUCUGUAGACUACUGUAACACCCUUCUAUUGCUUCAGGGUCUCAGAUGUAUGGCAUUCACCUCUGCACAGUCAAGUCUUCUGCCUCUGGCUAGACAUUUUCGUAUUGGGAGCACAUUUAUCCAGAGAUUUAUGGAAUUAAAGUAAUCCCUUCCUGACAGAAAACACGUGCAACCAUGCCUCUUGGUUUGGUGUUUUUUAUUCUUUUUCUAACCCCCACCAUCAAUGUGCUCCCCUGCUUCAUCAAUCCAUCUUUCACUCAGGGCCCCUGUUGUAUGCAGGAUGUUUCCUCUGUUACUGAAGUGAUGUUCCAUUACCUUCAGUUCCUUUGCCAGGAAGUUCCCAGCUAAGGACUGCUUGCCGACCUGCUUAAAGGCAAUUUAUGAAAGUGUUCUCUAUGCAGGCUCCGUAUGCUCCAUCUCAGCCAUUGCAAACAGGGACCUCCAUAAUUUACCUUGAUGUGAAACUACACCACAAGUCUGGAUGCCGGGAGACCAAGCCAGGUUCUAAUUGUCCUUGAGCAGUGGUCCAUGCAGGCUGCCACUGGAGUGAAUAUUGGGAUUGGUCCUAGGUUUCCUCUGCUGGCUGUAUCCAUACCUGUGCCAGAAUGUUCCUGUACUUCACGUGGAUCUGGAGCUUGGUGGCCAUGAAUUCUCACUGGGGCAGCAGAAGUUUCUGCCAUGAAUGGACUUAUUGUUUGGCAGCAAAUGGUGACUCAUAUAAUGUUGGAUCUGCACACAGAUAACCAGAACAUGGACAUGGAGGCUUUCUGUGAUAUUUCAAGCUGUUAAAUAAAAAUGAUUUGUGUAUUAGAACAUAUAUUUCAGAUAAGUCUAGCUAAAUAAGAUUGUGCAUGCUUUAUAUCAAGAUUGUGCCAAGGUAGCCUGAUUGGAGCAUGAAUUGUGGAGGACCAUGGCAUGGUCCAGGGGUGGUCCCAAGGACUUGGGGGUGGCACCACUUACUGGUGAUUUUUGUUACAAUUAUGAGAUUGCUUCAUUGCAUAUUUUUCAUUGCUGUUGUGGGUUUUUCUUGCAAGCCGAGUAACAGAUUCACCGCAUAACUCCACUCCUUCUAGACCCCAAGGAACUUGCGGAAGAUUGGGCGUGAAGAUUGUUAGGGUUAUCUAGAAGGGGUGGGUUGUGUUGAACCAAAGGUGAACUGUUCUGGAAGCUCUGCAAACACCAUUUUGGUAGUCAAGAUAACCCCACAAUUAAUAGGUAGUUGUUGUAGUGAUGAGCUCCUAUAAGCUAAUUGGCUUGUUUUGAUGCUAUCCUUAACUGGGGGCUUCGGGUGCAUGGAGUCCAGAAAGAGGAGCUAGCUGUAAGACUUUGGUAUUUGCCACCUAUGCCCCCAUCUGGUCAAGUGGAGUGAUGGGAAGUGCUGGCCGAAGUGAAGUAUGCUGCUUUGUGUAUAAAGAUAUAUGAACGUUUGCUUGGAUGCAGACAAGCCAACUCCUUGCUGAGGUGUCUGUCCUGCAACUGUAAAGGGUGGGAGGCCUGGCAGACUGAUUUGCUGUAACAAAGCUUUUAAUAAAGCAGUAGAACUGA